CACGGGCCUCCCGCAGGGCACUUGGGACUUUUGUAGCCCGUGUUUGGCGUCGCUGCGCUUUCGCAGAGCAGCGAGCCUGGCAGGACCCCGUGCCCACAGCCCCCAGAGCCCCUCCCCAUCUGCUCUGCCCGCGCCAGUCCCACCGGAAACAAUGGCAGGGCCAGGAGCCAGCCGAGGGGAACUGGGGCGCAGGGCUGCGCAGGUUACACCGUCCCCGAGCUCCUGGGGGCGCUGUUCGCACAGACUAAGACGUGGACGUCGCCUGGGAGUCUUGCGCCACAGAGGCGUGGACUCCCUGUGACGGGCCCACGGGAAGCUCCACCUAGGACGGUCUGUCGGGGACCCAGACAGCAGCUCCUUUACCCAGAGGACACUUUUUCAGCGAACUCAACCGUGCCAAACACAACCGAACCUGGCCGGAGAGAUCCAUGUCAAGUCCUGGUUAACUUGAAGCGUGUGGUUCAAGAAAGGAGAGGAAACCAGCAGCUGGCGCUGAAGGCUUUCCAGGAGAUCAGAUGGGUCCAAGGGAGGACGUCCCAGGGAACUAGAGUGAGGCUCGUUGGAGGCAUGGAGAUAAUUAGGAACCUUUGAGCAAAUAUGGGGCAUGAUUGAGUUGCAAGAUAAAAGAGUACCUUCAUUUUGGCAAGAUGAUUUAUGAGUAUUCUUGAUACUUACCUCUGCAGACAAGUUGGGGGGGAUAUUGGCCAGAGGAGUCCACACCACGUACAUUGCACACUUAACUGUGCUCUGCAUUGACAUCACAAAGAUGAAUAAAACAUGGUCCUUGUCUUGGAGAAACAGCCUGGAGGCCAUGGUAUCCGAGUUCCCACCAUUAGAGUUACUUUUUAGUUAAACUACUUCAUGAAGCCACCGCUUAAUGGAAGGAGGAAGGAACAAUCUAAUGAUUCCACGAGUGGUUGUCUAGUCUCAGUUGGUUUACAAGAUGAGUUGCGUAGAUCUAGAAGAAACCAGGAACAGAAAUCGUUUGUUGAUUGUUGUGCUCGGGCUCUGGACAAAAGAGAACCGCCGAUUCAAUCUCUGCCUCCUUCACAGCUUGCCAAUCAAAGAGAGGCACAGAAGUAGGACACAGAGAGCAGGAAGAAACAUCUAAACGUGAAUGGCGGUGAGAUAUUUAUAGCGUGUGGCGCUCUGGAAUGCACAGCUGCAACCCGCAGGGAAAUGAGCAGUGGGCAAACCUAUCUGUCAAUCCAGCCUGCACUCGGUCCCUCGCGUUCCGAUGCGCGACGGCCGGGUGCCCAGCCCUGCACGGGGAGUCUUGAGCUUUCGUAGUCACAACAACAACCACAAAAUUCCUAAGGAUCUUGAAGAGGUAAAACCCAGAUUGUAAAGGUCCAAGAGAGACUACGGCACUGGGAGACACAAGCAAUGAUUGUGGACUGCUCCUUGAGAAGUUCUACAACAAAUAGAAGGAGAAAGAUAGUUCAAGUUAAGGUCAGAGCUAAGGGGAAGGCUGCAGUGAUGCCCCAGAAACCUCCUACCUCUGGCAGAGCUGGUUUAAAUUUUCAGAGAUUAUGCGCGCUUCUUGUUCAACUGGCUUGACACACUCCCACGGUGGAUGUGUUUACACUGCAGACAUAGGCAAAUGCUACCGAUCAACCACCUGCCCUCACGCCCAGCCGGUUGUGAAACCCUUCACCUCUGUUAAGAUGGAGAAGGAAAAAAGGAACAAUCCAGCUGAACACAGCCACCAUCACUGGAAUCUGAGGCUAACGUGAAACUUACCUCUGUGGGGACUGUAACCCUAAAACCAGAGCUGAAGUUCCUUUUCUCAAAUAAGAUGUUUGAGGUUUGCUCUUUCCUGAUACUCCUGUGAUACAUUCCUGACCUUUCGGAAUUUUUAUUUAAUUUAAAAGGAGUUACAACAGAAGUACGUCUUAUCCUAAACGUAUUUACCCUUCAUUAUAGGUUUUAUUAAAGUUCUGUGUAGGUACACACACGCAAGGAAAGUUCAAGGAAGGAUGGGAGAGAGAGAGAGAGACAGAAAGACAGAGGGGAGGACGGAGGACGGAAAAGAGCAUGCUUGGCCCGCGCUUGGGUCCCAGAACCAGGUGUGAUUUAAGUGUUCCGUAAUGACCCACUGUCACAUCUCUCAGGGCCCCUGCACUCGCUGUGGAAAACAACAGAAUUUCACAACGUUUCAGGGCCGCUGGUGGGAGAAGGCGACCAGCUGCUUCCUUGCUUAAGACGACAGUCCCACAGGCUCCCUUGCAAAUGUCAGAAAUGUCAGACCUACUCCCAGACAAAUACCUCAGGAAAGACAUUCUCAGGGCAGCUGAGGACACUGGUUCUGUUCCCUCGUAUCAAUAGUGCCUUUGACUAACGCACUUGGCUCUCGGCUGCUGAGACUUCCAGUGGGGAAUGCUUUGCAACUCUAUAUGGUACAUCAUCUGGCCCAUAAAUAAAAACCUGCUUU